GACGAACGCUGGCGGCGUGCUUAACACAUGCAAGUCGAACGGAAAGGCCCUGCUUUUGUGGGGUGCUCGAGUGGCGAACGGGUGAGUAACACGUGAGUAACCUGCCCUUGACUUUGGGAUAACUUCAGGAAACUGGGGCUAAUACCGGAUAGGAGCUCCUGCUGCAUGGUGGGGGUUGGAAAGUUUCGGCGGUUGGGGAUGGACUCGCGGCUUAUCAGCUUGUUGGUGGGGUAGUGGCUUACCAAGGCUUUGACGGGUAGCCGGCCUGAGAGGGUGACCGGCCACAUUGGAACUGAGAUACGGCCCAGACUCCUACGGGAGGCAGCAGUGGGGAAUAUUGCACAAUGGGCGGAAGCCUGAUGCAGCAACGCCGCGUGCGGUAUGACGGCCUUCGGGUUGUAAACCGCUUUCGCCUGUGACGAAGCGUGAGUGACGGUAAUGGGUAAAGAAGCACCGGCUAACUACGUG
rnacentral:rRNA from 1 species